UACGGAGGGUGCAAGCGUUGUUCGGAAUCAUUGGGCGUAAAGCGCGUGUAGGCGGCUUGGCAAGUCAGUUGUGAAAGCCCGGGGCCCAACCCCGGAACUGCAUCUGAAACUGCCUGGCUAGAGUCCCGGAGAGGAAGGCAGAAUUCCCGGUGUAGGGGUGAAAUCCGUAGAUAUCGGGAGGAAUACAGCGGCGAAGGCGGCCUUCUGGACGGUGACUGACGCUGAGACGCGAAAGCGUGGGGAGCAAACAGG
rnacentral:rRNA from 1 species